AUGCACGCUGGCGGCGUGCCUAAUCCAUGCCAGUCGCGCGAACAGACGAGGAGCUUGCUCCUCUGACGUUAGCGGCGGACGGGUGAGUAACACGUGGAUAACCUACCUAUAAGACUGUGAUAACUUCGGGAAACCGGAGCUAAUACCGGAUAAUAUAUUGAACCGCAUGGUUCCAUAGUGAAAGACGGUUUUGCUGUCACUUAUAGAUGGAUCCGCGCCGCAUUAGCUAGUUGGUAAGGUAACGGCUUACCAAGGCAACGAUGCGUAGCCGACCUGAGAGGGUGAUCGGCCACACUGGAACUGAGACACGGUCCAGACUCCUACGGGAGGCAGCAGUAGGGAAUCUUCCGCAAUGGGCGAAAGCCUGACGGAGCAACGCCGCGUGAGUGAUGAAGGUCUUCGGAUCGUAAAACUCUGUUAUUAGGGAAGAACAAAUGUGUAAGUAACUAUGCACGUCUUGACGGUACCUAAUCAGAAAGCCACGGCUAACUACGUG
rnacentral:rRNA from 1 species